rnacentral:lncRNA from 1 species
UGACAAAGAAUUUGUGAAAUAACACUUUUGCCUUGGGCUCUCUGGUUCUGAGUGCUAACAAAGUUAAAACUUUCUACGAGGCAUUAGUCACAACUGGAGACUGGACUAAUUUGCUGAUGUUGUACAAGGAAUUGUCUCUACCAGGGACCUGGCUGAUGUGAUCAGAACUCACAAAUGGUAUCGGACCAAAGGUCCAUUCAGAGCAAAUGCAAAGCAAGGAACCCCUUUCUUUCCUGAGGGCAAAUCACUUCCAAG